CAGUAGCCACGGGAAUACGAGGGGGGCAAGCGUUGUUCGGAAUUAUUGGGCGUAAAGGGUGCGUAGGCGGCUUGACAAGUCUUGUGUGAAAUCUAUGGGCUCAACCCAUAGUCUGCAUGGGAAACUGCGGGGCUGGAGUAUGGGAGAGGUGAGUGGAAUUCCUGGUGUAGCGGUGAAAUGCGUAGAUAUCAGGAGGAACACCUGUGGCGAAAGCGGCUCACUGGACCAUAACUGACGCUGAGGCACGAAAGCUAGGGGAGCAAACAGGAUUAGAUACCCGCGUAGUCCCUGUCUCUUAUAC
rnacentral:rRNA from 1 species